rnacentral:rRNA from 1 species
CUCCGGUUGAUCCUGCCGGACCCGACUGCUAUCGGAUUGAGAUUUAGCCAUGCGAGUCGAACGUCCCCCUGUUGCGGGGGGCGUGGCGUACGGCUCAGUAACACGUAGUCAACCUGCCCUGGAGACAAGGACAACCCCGGGAAACUGGGAUUAAUCCUUGAUAGGUCAUCUCAUCUGGAAGGAGAGAUGGCUUAAAGGGGUACGCGGGCUUCUUCCGCGAAUCUGCUCCAGGAUGGGACUGCGUCCGAUCAGGCUGUUGGCGGGGUAAUGGCCCACCAAACCUGUAACCGGUACGGGCCUUGAGAGAGGUGGCCCGGAGAUGGACACUGAGAGAAGGGUCCAGGUCCUACGGGGCGCAGCAGGCGCGAAACCUUCGCAAUGCGCGAAAGCGUGACGAGGUUAAUCCGAGUGACUCCCGCUGAGGGGGUCUUUUGUCAGCUGUAAAUAGGCAGGCGAAUAAGGGGAGGGCAAGCCUGGUGUCAGCCGCCGCGGUAAUACCAGCUCCUCGAGUGGUCGGGGCGAUUAUUGGGCCUAAAGCAUCCGUAGCCGGUUCCGUAGGUCCUCUGUUAAAUCCAACCGCUUAACGGUUGACCUGCAGAGGAUACCGCGGGACUAGGAGGCGGGAGAGGCGGACGGUACUCCGCGUGUAGGGGUAAAAUCCUUUGAUCCGCGGAAGACCACCAGUGGCGAAGGCGGUCCGCCAGAACGCGCUCGACGGUGAGGGAUGAAAGCUGGGGGAGCGAACCGGAUUAGAUACCCGGGUAGUCCCAGCCGUAAACGAUGCUAGCUAGAUGAUUCAUUCGCAAGUCGCGAAUGAAGUGUCGCAGGGAAGCCGUUAAGCUAGCCGCCUGGGGAGUACGGUCGCAAGACUGAAACUUAAGGAAUUGGCGGGGGAGCC